UUAUACAUACUAUUAUUAAUUAACUACACUGUUAUUGGACUUAAUAUGAUGAAAACUGCCUAUGCAAUAUAAUGUGUAAACUAGGCCAAUUCAGAAUAACUCGGCCAAUACAGAUUUUUUUCUGUAUUGGCCGAGUUAUUCUAUAUUGGCCGAGUUGACACAAGUGCAGGAAUUCGGAACGUCUCUAGAUUUUACAUCGAAAGUCACGAUAAACACAAACUGAAAGUAAACAGUUGUUUUGAAGACGCAGUUGUCGUUUAGUGAUCUUAAACAUGCUGAAAAUGUCAGUAUGGCAUACAUUUCAGGCGAAAGACGGUCACAUUCAUUUAAAAGGUAUUUUGAAAGCAGACGAUAGAACUAUUUCAGGUUUGGGGAACGAGUAGAUUAUCACAAAGUUCAUUUCUUGACGACCUCAUAAUUUCACGAUUGUACACAUCGAUUUUUAAUUAGUUUCUGCAUAACACAUGCAAUGGCAGUACCUUUCCAAUUACUAUUUAUGUGUUGCGUCUAAAUUUAAGUUGUAACACUUUAUAGUGACUGAAAAGGGUAGAAAAAUUCAUCAGAUGAGAAAAUACUGAAGACACCUGGAAACAGCACCAGAUCAUAAUGUAUUGCAUCUAAUACAAAGAAACAAACUGAAAUUUGGAUAGUUCCACUUCAAGGUAAAAAUAUUUAUCUCUUGAAAUGAUAUUAAGAAAAUAUUGUAACACUGUAGUUAAUUAAUAAAGAUAUUAUUACGUGUAUUUCUGUAUUGGCCUUGUUAUUGGUCCUCGGCCAGCUGUAUUGGCCUUCGGCUUCGCCUCAGGCCAAUACAGCAAGCCUCGGACCAAUAACAAGGCCAAUACAGAAAUACUUACGUAAUAAUAUCAUAGUAUA
rnacentral:lncRNA from 1 species